GCCGGAAGAGGCCGGCAGGCCGGAGGGGAGGAGCCGGAAGAGGAAGGGAAGGAGGAGAGGGCGUCCUCAAGGCUCAGGCUUUCGGAGUCUCACUGUCGUGACUGCAGAUACCUGGAGCACAGAGAGCAGUGCCGGGGGUAAGGGAUUUUGGACCUGGCCGUCAUGAAGAAGCUGUUCCAAGUAAAGGGCAGCGGAUCCGGAAAGCUUGUGUCCCUGCCAUUCUAAGUGGACACAUGAAGGACUUAGUGGUGAGACCGGAGGCCCUGGAGCCAGAGAGUGCCCUCCUGGCCCGUGGUCGCCAGGCUGCUGGUCGCUGGCCCCCUGGUGCUGGCCCAUGGUGGCAGAGUCCCACAGGAGCCCGCUCUCCAUGCCGUGCUGACGGAGGCUCUCAGUUCCCACGAGCCCCUGCGUUCUCAGGAGCCACCCGGGGGAGCCGGGAUCUACUGAAACCUGGGUGCCUAGAGCCUGUGCUCCGUGACAAGCGAAGCUCCUGCAAUGAGAAGGCCACACACAGCAAAGACGACCCA